UGGUUGACGACAAGCGGAGCAGACGAUGGCUUUCAUUAGCCUACAUAUCUUUGGUUCCAUGAACACUGAAGCUACUGGGUAGGGCUGGUCUGAAUCCAGCUUUAAAGGUUGGUCCGUUCUUGAACGCCUUCUGCUCUACGACACCUAAUUGCAAUCAGUGCACGAAGAAGCGCCCGGCCUACGUUUCCCGAUAGAGCGAACAAACGAGGAGAAGCCAAAUUAAUUCUGUUCAGUCAAGGACGUAAACGAAGAGCAAAAGACUGGAGCACUCGUGACGAUGCCUUCGUGUGCGGCCUCGCCUCAGCCCUACCCGAGUAGGACGCUUAUCCGCCCCCGAUGGCCGCAUAUAUAUUUUUCUCCCACCGCCACUUACUCGCUCUCCAUAGGCGGUUGCCUCACUCUUUGCUGCGCCUGUGCGAACUACUGAUGCUAUCCAAGAGAUUCAACUUAAUCUACUAUUCCGUGCUGACUCCUGCAUCUCCAUGAGAAUAACAAAGAAAAGCGCUUCUUUAAGUGGACUGGGCCUGAAGCACCCUUGGACGGCGAGUGACUGCAAAGGACUCGCUAAAGCUGGCUGUUCGCUCUGUUUAGCCACUGUUCGUGCUGCGUUCUUUCUUCUAUUUCGGACCGUUUUGCUACCCUCCGCUAGAUAUUGUGUGUAAGGAUUACACGGGAACGAGGACGAAAACUUUUGUACACAAUAUGUGAUCCAAUGGUGCAAUUGGGGCUAGGCGGAAGAUGGCUCGUGAAGUGCGUUAAGUGUCGUGGGACUGCGAGCCAUUUGAUCAGAAUGUAAUUUUGGUAGGCAUGGCAUUUCCAAGCGAAUAUUCAGCUCAGGUAACUAGCUACUGGCUGAUGAUAUCGAGAGGCAGUUAAGCCCUACCGUACUUCAAGGCAUCGGUUGCUAGAUGAAUCGCGAAGUGGGAUCUUUCUUUUUUAGAUUCGUAUUUGACUUCCGGAUUAUCAUCUUAGCCGUUUAGAAUUACUUAUUUCAACCUUACGGAGUUGAAUGCCGUCUUCGUAGAAUCGCUCAACGUUAUGCGCUAUUAUUAAGAUACUCGUUCUUCGUACA